rnacentral:lncRNA from 1 species
UGGGAAUUCUGGGAUUUAUUCCUGGGGUUUAUUUGUGGGAAUUCUGGGAUUUCUGGGAUUUAUUCCUGGGAUUAAUCUGUGGGAAUUCUGGGAUUUACGGGAUUUAUUCCUGGGGUUUAUUCAUGGGAAUUCCAGGAUUUCUGGGAUUUAUUCCUGGGAUUUCUUUGUGGGAAUUCUGGGAUUUACGGGAUUUAUUUAUGGGAUUUAUUCCUGGGGUUUAUUCCUGGGAAUUCCGGGAUUUCUGGGAUUUAUUCCUGGGAUUUAUUCCUGGGAUUUCUGGGAUUUAUUCCUGGGAUUUAUUUGUGGGAAUUCCAGGAUUUCUGGGAUUUAUUCCUGG